AUGGCUGAUUUGCUAGCUGUAGAGCGCAAGCUAAAUGAUACAGGCUCUGCUGUGAAAACCAACGGGUCUCUUCUUUUACAAGCUUUUGCUACAGUUGAAUUACUCAAUAUCUGGUUCAAUGGUGCCUUCAGCAAAGUCGCCGAGGCUGGUCAUGUUGCCGGCUCAAGAACAACAGAAAAGUUCCAGAUAGUUGUGUCAAAUAUAUCAGCCAAAGUAAGUCAAUAA
rnacentral:rRNA from 1 species